rnacentral:rRNA from 1 species
GAUGAACGCUGGCGGCGUGCUUAACACAUGCAAGUCGAACGGAAAGGCCUUUUCGGAGGUACUCGAGUGGCGAACGGGUGCGUAACACGUGGGUGAUCUGCCCUGCACUCUGGGAUAAGGCUGGGAACGUGGGUCUAAUACCGGUUAGGACCGCUCUUUAGUGUGUGUGGUGGCAAGUUUUUUCGGUGUAGUAUGAGCCCGCGGCCUAUCAGCUCGUUGGUGGGGUAAUGGGCUACCAAGGCGCCGGCGGGUAGCCGGACUGAGAGGUUGGUCGGCCACAUUGGGACUGAGAGACGGCCCAGACUCCUACGGUAGGCAGCAGUGGGGAAUAUUGCACAAUGGGCGCAAGCCUGAUGCAGCGGCGCCGCGUGGGGGAUGACGGCCUUCGUGUUGAAAACUCCUUUCGCCAGGGACGAAGCGUUUUGUGACGGUACCUAAAGAAGAAGCACCGGCUAACUACGUG